rnacentral:rRNA from 1 species
ACAAAAUCUCCAAAGAAAAAGAGAAGAAUUAAGUUAACAAAAGUAAUAAAAUGGAAAAGAAAAGGCGAAUCUCACUCCUCCUCCAAAAGUGGUUCUGGCAGAUAUCGUUUACGGAAAUCACGUUCCACGUCUUUUGAUUGGGAUAAGGC